CUGGAGGUAUCAGAAGUGCGAAUGCUGACAUAAGUAACGAUAAAGCGGGUGAAAAGCCCGCUCGCCGGAAGACCAAGGGUUCCUGUCCAACGUUAAUCGGGGCAGGGUGAGUCGACCCCUAAGGCGAGGCCGAAAGGCGUAGUCGAUGGGAAACGGGUUAAUAUUCCCGUACUUGGUGUUACUGCGAAGGGGGGACGGAGAAGGCUAUGUUGGCCGGGCGACGGUUGUCCCGGUUUAAGCGUGUAGGUGUGUGUUCCAGGUAAAUCCGGUUCACUUUAACACUGAGGCGUGAUGACGAGGCACUACGGUGCUGAAGCAACAAAUGCCCUGCUUCC
rnacentral:rRNA from 1 species